rnacentral:rRNA from 1 species
GGCGGGUGGUUUAGGUAAAUCCGGACCGCUAUUCAACGCUGAGAUACGAUGUCGAGCUACUACGGUAGUGAAGUCAUUGAUGCCAUGCUUCCAGGAAAAGCCUCUAAGCUUCAGAUUAUAAGAAAUCGUACCCCAAACCGACACAGGUGGUCGGGUAGAGAAUACCAAGGCGCUUGAGAGAACUCGGGUGAAGGAACUAGGCAAAAUGGUACCGUAACUUCGGGAGAAGGUACGCUCUCGACGGUGAAGUCCCUCGCGGAUGGAGCUAUUGGGAGUCGCAGAUACCAGGUGGCUGCAACUGUUUAUUAAAAACACAGCACUGUGCAAAAUCGUAAGAUGACGUAUACGGUGUGACGCCUGCCCGGUGCCGGAAGGUUAAUUGAUGGGGUUAGACUUCGGUCGAAGCUCUUGAUCGAAGCCCCGGUAAACGGCGGCCGUAACUAUAACGGUCCUAAGGUAGCGAAAUUCCUUGUCGGGUAAGUUCCGACCUGCACGAAUGGCGUAAUGAUGGCCACGCUGUCUCCACCCGAGACUCAGUGAAAUUGAAAUCGCUGUGAAGAUGCAGUGUACCCGCGGCUAGACGGAAAGACCCCGUGAACCUUUACUACAGCUUGGCACUGAACAUUGACCCUACAUGUGUAGGAUAGGUGGGAGCCUUUGAAGCAAGUACGCCAGUAUUUGUGGAGGCAAUCUUGAAAUACCACCCUUGUAUGCUUGAUGUUCUAACGUUGGCCCCUUAUCGGGGUUACGGACAGUGCCUGGUGGGUAGUUUGACUGGGGCGGUCUCCUCCCAAAGAGUAACGGAGGAGCACGAAGGUGGGCUAAACACGGUUGGACAUCGUGUGGUUAGUGCAAUGGCAUAAGCCCGCUUAACUGCGAGAAUGACGGUUCGAGCAGGUACGAAAGUAGGUCAUAGUGAUCCGGUGGUUCUGUAUGGAAGGGCCAUCGCUCAACGGAUAAAAGGUACUCCGGGGAUAACAGGCUGAUACCGCCCAAGAGUUCAUAUCGACGGCGGUGUUUGGCACCUCGAUGUCGGCUCAUCACAUCCUGGGGCUGAAGUCGGUCCCAAGGGUAUGGCUGUUCGCCAUUUAAAGUGGUACGCGAGCUGGGUUUAGAACGUCGUGAGACAGUUCGGUCCCUAUCUGCCGUGGGCGUUGGAAAAUUGAAAGGGGCUGCUCCUAGUACGAGAGGACCGGAGUGGACGAACCUCUGGUGUUCGGGUUGUCACGCCAGUGGCAUUGCCCGGUAGCUAAGUUCGGAAUCGAUAAGCGCUGAAAGCAUCUAAGCGCGAAGCGAGCCUUGAGAUGAGUUUUCCCUGGCACUUUAAGUGCCCUAAAGGGUUGUUCGAGACUAGAACGUUGAUAGGCAGGGUGUGUAAGCGCUGUGAGGCGUUGAGCUAACCUGUACUAAUUGCCCGUGAGGCUUAACCAUACAACACCCAAGGGGUUUUGUA